AUUGAACGCUGGCGGCAGGCCUAACACAUGCAAGUCGAGCGGAUGAAGGGAGCUUGCUCCUGGAUUCAGCGGCGGACGGGUGAGUAAUGCCUAGGAAUCUGCCUGGUAGUGGGGGAUAACGUCCGGAAACGGGCGCUAACACCGCAUACGUCCUGAGGGAGAAAGUGGGGGAUCUUCGGACCUCACGCUAUCAGAUGAGCCUAGGUCGGAUUAGCUAGUUGGUGGGGUAAAGGCCUACCAAGGCGACGAUCCGUAACUGGUCUGUGAGGAUGAUCAGUCACACUGGAACUGAGACACGGUCCAGACUCCUACGGGAGGCAGCAGUGGGGAAUAUUGGACAAUGGGCGAAAGCCUGAUCCAGCCAUGCCGCGUGUGUGAAGAAGGUCUUCGGAUUGUAAAGCACUUUAAGUUGGGAGGAAGGGCAGUAAGUUAAUACCUUGCUGUUUUGACGUUACCAACAGAAUAAGCACCGGCUAACUUCGUG
rnacentral:rRNA from 1 species